rnacentral:rRNA from 1 species
UGGGAGCGGCAGACGGGUGAGUAACGCGUGGGGAUCUACCCAUUGGUACGGAAUAACCCAGGGAAACUUGGACUAAUACCGUAUGUGCCCUUCGGGGGAAAGAUUUAUCGCCAAUGGAUGAACCCGCGUCGGAUUAGCUAGUUGGUGGGGUAAAGGCUCACCAAGGCGACGAUCCGUAGCUGGUCUGAGAGGAUGAUCAGCCACACUGGGACUGAGACACGGCCCAGACUCCUACGGGAGGCAGCAGUGGGGAAUAUUGGACAAUGGGCGCAAGCCUGAUCCAGCCAUGCCGCGUGAGUGAUGAAGGCCUUAGGGUUGUAAAGCUCUUUCGCCGGUGAAGAUAAUGACGGUAACCGGAGAAGAAGCCCCGGCUAACUUCGUGCCAGCAGCCGCGGUAAUACGAAGGGGGCUAGCGUUGCUCGGAAUCACUGGGCGUAAAGCGCACGUAGGCGGAUCGUUAAGUCAGGGGUGAAAUCCUGGGGCUCAACCUCAGAACUGCCCUUGAUACUGGCGAUCUCGAGUUCGAGAGAGGUUGGUGGAACUCCGAGUG